GUAAGUUUCUUUAAAAAAAUCAAUAAUCUUUUUUCAUUGUUUGAGUAAAUCAUUAAAACUUUUGGAUACAAACUGAACAAUGUUAUAGAGAAUUUGAGAUUAUUUUCUGUAGCCACCAUAGAAAUUUGGUAGCAAAUGCGGAGUUUCCCCCCAUUAUAUUCACCUUAAAGAUGAGAAUGUGCCUAAUUAUUAGCUCUAUAAUCCCUUAUAAGUUGGUUAUAAAUUAUAUUGAGUAAAAAAUCAUUUACAUUUAAAAUUAAGUAUCUGAAUGAAUUCUUAUUUAUUUAUAUACUUAUGUGUAAAAUUUUUUUGCAGUAGUGAGAGAAAACGUCUUAAGGUUCUGGUAAAACAUUUAUGUCAUGUAAAGAUGAGAGAGAAGGUAACUAAGAGGUCCAGGGAGUCAUCCGUCCUCUCUCAAAUAUAUGAAGUUAUACAAGAGAUAGAUUAGGCAUCCCUUGGCAUCCUCCUUGAUAUUCAGAUUCCCUGAGGAUUGUCUUCUCUGGACAGGUUGGUGAUAUCAAACAAUUAACAGUAUGGAGCAUAUGUUCCCCAGAGACUUCAGCCAGGUAAACAGAUUUGGUUCUCCAUCCAUCCGUGCCAGCCCAGUCAUAGCACAGUGUCAUACCACCCUCUCAUGUUGUUGCUAAGGGUCUCCCAGUCAUAAAACCAGGUCAUUGUAUUGGGGACAUAAUAUUGAGAGUUAGAAAUUGCUUUUCUUCUUCUUCCUACUACCUGAGGCAGAAUGCAGAUCUCUUGUACCAUGUGAAGAUAUGUGAAGCCAUCAUGAGAAAGUGUCCUCUUGCUUAAAAAAAAUUUCUGGAUAAUCCAAUGCUGGUAUAAUUAACCUUGCACUCGCUCCACAUACUUCUGAUUCUGUAUAUCCAAGUUCCAACCCCAGUACUCUAUUGAAGGCGGCAAAUUGAAGAUGAGGUAGAAAAAUAGCUUAGGACCCACAGAACAAAGUUUUGCAGAUCAGCUUUUCCCUCUGAUGCUCCUUUCACUUUGAAUGUUCUUAUAUAGUGGAUGUCUUUUCAGACAUCAUAGUUAAGUUAAAGCAUUUCUUACUCUGUGAAGUGUGUCUUCUUCUUCCAGGAAGGGAAAACAGAGACGACACAGACACACAGGGAGAACACUAUGUGUUGACAGAGCCAAAGAUUGGAACAAAGAUGAGUCUACAAGCCAAGGAAUGUGAUGGAUUGCUGGCAACACCAGAGGCUCAAAGAAAGGCAUAGAACACAUUCUCCCUUAGAAGUUUCAGAGAGAGAGUGCGUUGCUGAUGAUAACUUGAUUUUGGACUUCUGGUUUCCAGAAGUGUGAGAGAAUAAAUUUCUGUUGUUUUAAAUACCCCAGUUGGUGGUACUUCAUUAUGGCUGCCACAGGAAACUAAAACUGCUACUUUUGGUUGGGGAGAGGGAAACAGUGGAUUUAUAGAACCAUAGUGUAUGUAAAUUUUGAAGUACAUGUGUCAGGAAUGGCAAUGGAAAUGUAGAAGUCUGAUUGGGGAGAGGGUUCAGAGCUUGAUAUACUUUUGGCAAUUCUUUUGUGGUUCACUGAAGUACCAUCAUUUUGAAGAGGAAAUGGCUAAAAAGAGAAUUAAAGGAAAAGGAUUUUGGGUUUCAGAAAAAGUGCAAAAGUAAUGGUCAUUGUCAUGUGGGAACAUCAGGACUGAACAAUUUAUAAAAGCUAAUGAAGACCAUUUCAAGGAGGAAGUGGCCAACAGCAUGGCAUGACUGAAGGUGAUCUGAGGAAAUGGACUGAAGAAAAAGCAUGAUUUUGGCUAGAAAUGCUAAUAAUUCUUUGCAUUUACACAAUGAUUUACAAUUUGUAAUGCAUUUUCAUAUUUUUUAUCUUAUUUGUUUACUACAACACCUUAAGGGACAAUAUCAUCCUUAUUUUACAGCUGAGCUCACUCUGGAACAGGAGGUUAAAUCCUUGCUUGAAGUGACACAGCUUCUAAAUAACAAGAUCAAGAUGUGAACCUAGAUUUUCAGAGUUCAAAGUUAUGCUCUUUCCAAGGAAUAAUGGAAUAUCUUUUUUAAUUCC
rnacentral:lncRNA from 1 species